rnacentral:rRNA from 1 species
AGUAGCGGCGAGUGAAGCGGCAAGAGCUCAGAUUUGAAAUCGUGCUAAUUUUUUUGGCACGAGUUGUAGAGUGUAGGCGGGAGUCUUUGUGGAGCACGGUGUCCAAGUCCCUUGGAACAGGGCGCCUGAGAGGGUGAGAGCCCCGUGGGGUGCCGUGCGAAGCUCUGAGGCCCUGCUGACGAGUCGAGUUGUUUGGGAAUGCAGCUCCAAGUGGGUGGUAAAUUCCAUCUAAGGCUAAAUACUGGCGAGAGACCGAUAGCGAACAAGUACUGUGAAGGAAAGAUGAAAAGCACUUUGAAAAGAGAGUGAAACAGCACGUGAAAUUGUUGAAAGGGAAGGGUAUUGGGCCCGACAUGGGGAGUGCGCACCGCUGUCUCUUGUAGGCGGCGCUCUGGGCGCUCUCUGGGCCAGCAUCGGUUCUUGCUGCGGGAGAAUGGGUGCCGGAAAGUGGCUCUUCGGAGUGUUAUAGCCGGCGCCAGAUACCGCGUGCGGGGACCGAGGACUGCGGCUUCUGUCUCGGAUGCUGGCACAACGGCGCAAUACCGCCCGUCUU